GAGAAAAUAGCUCAAUGGCUAGAGCAUUUACCUUUUAAGUAAAGUUAUAAGAGUUCGAAUCUCUUUUUUCUCA
rnacentral:tRNA from 1 species